rnacentral:rRNA from 1 species
CGUAGGGUGCGAGCGUUAAUCGGAAUUGCUGGGCGUAAAGCGUGCGCAGGCGGUUUUGUAAGACAGAUGUGAAAUCCCCGGGCUCAACCUGGGACCUGCAUUUGUGACUGCAAGGCUAGAGUACGGUAGAGGGGGAUGGAAUUCCGCGUGUAGCAGUGAAAUGCGUAGAUAUGCGGAGGAACACCGAUGGCGAAGGCAAUCCCCUGGACCUGUACUGACGCUCAUGCACGAAAGCGUGGGGAGCAAACAGGAUUAGAUACCCUGGUAGUCCACGCCCUAAACGAUGUCAACUGGUUGUUGGGUCUUUACUGACUCAGUAACGAAGCUAACGCGUGAAGUUGACCGCCUGGGGAGUACGGCCGCAAGGUUG